UUGAACUAAUUAGAAAUAAUUCACAGAGGUUUAACUAAAUGUUUCAAAUGGAAAUUCCAAGGAAUUAUCAGUUUUACUUCUUUGAAAUAAUCUUUUUUACUAAUUUUACAACUGCUUUGUACUUUUUAAACACCACUUUGUUAGUAAAAGUGAACGUACUAGCAUAACAUCUUCGUCCAAAGGUUUUUGGCUGGCGGGCGCUCCUUCAAAAUAUUGUCUGCCCUACACUGGGGUGGCACACUAUGACAGGAAAGAACAAGUGGCUUUACGCAGGAAGCGAUCGGUCAGCACAGAGGAAUGUUGCAACAGUCGAGGCAGGUGGAUACACUGCCCUCUAGGGGAAACAGUGAACAUGACACAACUCAUUUGAUAUGGCUGAAUCCUGCUGCUCCCUGUUAAGACCAACAUAAGGUAAGUUUUUGUUUGAGCUAAUGUUUUUUUUAUGCAUUCGUAA